rnacentral:rRNA from 1 species
CACAGGUGCUGCAUGGCUGUCGUCAGCUCGUGUCGUGAGAUGUUGGGUUAAGUCCCGCAACGAGCGCAACCCUCAUCUUUAGUUGCCAGCAGUUCGGCUGGGCACUCUAGAGAAACUGCCUGGGAUGACCAGGAGGAAGGCGAGGAUGACGUCAAGUCCUCAUGGCCCUUAUGGGCUGGGCUACACACGUGCUACAAUGGCGGUGACAAAGGGAAGCAAUAGGGCAACCUGGAGCAAAUCCCAAAAAGCCGUCUCAGUUCGGAUUGUUCUCUGCAACUCGAGAGCAUGAAGUUGGAAUCGCUAGUAAUCGUAGAUCAGCAUGCUACGGUGAAUACGUUCCCGGG